UUAUAACCCUGGUUGAAGCGGCAUCCUUUUUUCUAUGGGCUAUAAGCUAGGCGAAAAAAGAUAGAGCGGAAGACAGGUGUGGUU
rnacentral:sRNA from 1 species